AAUCAACGCUGGCGGCGUGCCUCAGACAUGCAAGUCGAACGAUUAAAGCUCUCUUCGGAGAGUGCAUAGAGUGGCGCACGGGUGAGUAACACGUAAGUAAUCUACCUUCGAGUGGGGAAUAACGUCCGGAAACGGACGCUAAUACCGCAUAAUGCAGCGGCAUCGUAAGAUGACAGUUGUUAAAGAUUUAUCGCUUGAAGAGGAGCUUGCGGCAGAUUAGCUAGUUGGUAAGGUAAUGGCUUACCAAGGCUACGAUCUGUAACCGGUCUUAGAGGACGGUCGGUCACACUGACACUGAAUAACGGGUCAGACUCCUACGGGAGGCAGCAGUCGGGAAUUUUGGGCAAUGGGCGAAAGCCUGACCCAGCAACGCCGCGUGAAGGAUGAAGGCCUUCGGGUUGUAAAACGUACUUUCGUCGCACGACGAUAAUGACGGUACGUGCGAGAAGAAGACUCCGGCUAACUUCGUGCCAGCAGCCGCGGUAA
rnacentral:rRNA from 1 species